rnacentral:rRNA from 1 species
UACGGGGGGGGCAAGCGUUGUUCGGAAUUACUGGGCGUAAAGGGCUCGUAGGCGGCCAACUAAGUCGGACGUGAAAUCCCUCGGCUUAACCGGGGAACUGCGUCCGAUACUGGAUGGCUUGAGUUCGGGAGAGGGAUGCGGAAUUCCAGGUGUAGCGGUGAAAUGCGUAGAUAUCUGGAGGAACACUGGUGGCGAAGGCGGCAUCCUGGACCGACACUGACGCUGAGGCGCGAAAGCGUGGGUAGCAAACAGG